CGCAAGGCUUAAGAGGUGAGGGUGAGAAAAAAUCGUAUAAAAUGAGAGAGAAAAGGCUAAUAGAUAUCAGUCGAGUGAGGAUCUCCGACACGGGAACAACUGCUGCACUAUUUGUCUCCAACUGCCUUCUUCAUCGUAUUAUCAGUUCGCAAUCAUGGUCAACUGUGGGUCGUGCUGCUGUUGGGUGUUGUAUCGUUGAUGGCUGGGGAGACCACGGGAGUACCGAUGUCUUCUGAGUCUGGUGGAUACCAAACAGCAACGCCGCCGCCUUACUGCACAACGCAGUCAACAUACGCAACAUCUACUUACUACACCGAGGCUCACAAGAACUACACCACCGAGUCGUCUGCCCCAGCCUACUACACCGACGCUCUCAAGUACUUCUCUUCAAGCUACUACAAUACUGAGGCUCCUGUUUACUACACCAAGGCCACCGAGUAUUACACUACAACCAAAUUGUAAAUAUUCUGUUUCAUCAUUG
rnacentral:misc_RNA from 1 species